CCCCUAUAUCAGUGUAAGAUAAGGUUUAUACCCCUGCCCCUAUAUACGUACAACAUAAGGCGUUCACUCCUAUAUAAGUGUAAGAUAAGAUUUAUACCCCUGCCCCUAUAUGCAACAUAAGGUGUCCACCCCUAUAUCAGUGUAAGAUAAGGUUUAUACCCCUGCCCCUAUACGCAACAUAAGGUGUUCACACCUAUAUAAGUGUAAGAUAAGAUUUAUACCCCUGCCCCUAUAUACAACAUAAGGCGUUCACUCCUAUAUAAGUGUAAGAUAAGAUUUAUACCCCUGCCCCUAUAUGUAACAUAAGGCGGCAUUCACCCCUAUAUCAGUGUAAGAUAAGGUUUAUACCCCGCCCCUAUAUCCAACAUAAGGUGUCCACCCCUAUAUCAGUGUAAAAUAAGGUUUAUACCCCUGCCCCUAUAUGCAACAU
rnacentral:lncRNA from 1 species